rnacentral:piRNA from 1 species
UCCACAGUGAGGAAUGAUGGGAUUUC